rnacentral:rRNA from 1 species
GGACUACUGGGGUUUCUAAUCCCGUUCGCUCCCCUGGCUUUCGCAUCUGAGCGUCAGGAGCUUGCCAGGACACUGCCUUCGCCUUUGGUGUUCCUCCGGAUCUCUACGCAUUUCACCACUCCACCCGGAAUUCCGUGUCCCUCUCAAGCCCUCAAGUCGACCAGUUUUCAAAGCCCUUUCCCAGUUGAGCCGGGAACUGUCACUCCAAACUUCGCCGACCGCCUGCAUGCGCUUUACGCCCAGUAACUCCGGACAACGCUUGCCCCCUACGUAUUACCGCGGCUGCUGGCAC